rnacentral:rRNA from 1 species
GACGAACGCUGGCGGCGUGCUUAACACAUGCAAGUCGAACGCGCCUGUCCUCUGGGUUUCUGGGGGGUGGGUGAGUGGCGAACGGGUGAGUAACACGUGAGUAACCUGCCCCCUUCUUCGGGAUAACGGUCUGAAAGGGCUGCUAAUACCGGGUAUUCACUGGUCUCCGCAUGGGGUCUGGUGGAAAGGUUUUUUUCUGGUGGGGGAUGGGCUCGCGGCCUAUCAGCUUGUUGGUGGGGUGAUGGCCCACCAAGGCUUUGACGGGUAGCCGGCCUGAGAGGGUGACCGGUCACAUUGGGACUGAGAUACGGCCCAGACUCCUACGGGAGGCAGCAGUGGGGAAUAUUGAACAAUGGGCGCAAGCCUGAUGCAGCGACGCCGCGUGAGGGAUGGAGGCCUUCGGGUUGUGAACCUCUUUCGCCCGUGGUCAAGCCGCGACGUGGGUCGUGGUGAGGGUAGUGGGUAAAGAAGCGCCGGCUAACUACGUG